AGGAGAAAUCCGUAGUGCAUGGAAGCUCUGGUAAUCGUCGUGAAGGAAGACGACUAAGGGAUGCAAAAGGAAACAGGGCAACUACUGCUGCCAAAAUGUUUACGCCAGAGAAUCCUUACUUCAUGAUAACUCUUGGAGAAUAUCACGUGGUGCGGAACUAUAUUCUGAAUAUCCCACCUGAUUUUAGCCGAGAUUAUAUGCCAAAGACUUCAGAACCAAUUAAACUUCAAAAUUCUGAUGGCAGUAAGUGGACUGCACAUUGCCUUAGGAGGAAAACGUGUAUGUUUCUAAGCAAAGGAUGGGUACAUUUUGUUAGGGAUAAUAGUUUAGUGUUAGGAGAUGCUUGUGUCUUUGAGUUGAUCAAGGGCAUUCAGGCUGAUGAACUUACGCUGAAGGUGCAU
rnacentral:misc_RNA from 1 species